UACGGGGGGGGCAAGCGUUGUUCGGAAUUACUGGGCGUAAAGGGCUCGUAGGCGGCCAACUAAGUCGGAUGUGAAAUCCCCAGGCUUAACCUGGGAACUGCAUCCGAUACUGGAUGGCUUGAAUCCGGGAGAGGGAUGCGGAAUUCCAGGUGUAGCGGUGAAAUGCGUAGAUAUCUGGAGGAACACCUGAGGUGAAGACGGGUUGCUGGGCCAACACUGACGCUGAGGCGCGAAAGCCAGGGGAGCAAACGGG
rnacentral:rRNA from 1 species